rnacentral:rRNA from 1 species
UACGUAGGGGGCAAGCGUUGUCCGGAAUUAUUGGGCGUAAAGAGCGUGUAGGCGGCCUGACAGGUCUGCUGUGAAAACUCGAGGCUCAACCUCGAGAUGUCGGCGGAAACCGUCUGGCUAGAGUCCGGAAGAGGAGAGUGGAAUUCCUGGUGUAGCGGUGAAAUGCGCAGAUAUCAGGAAGAACACCAAUGGCGAAGGCAGCACUCUGGGACGUGACUGACGCUGAGACGCGAAAGCGUGGGGAGCAAACAGG